ACUUGAAAGCUUGCCCAUUGAUCUAGCAAGAACAAUUUGCUAUUAGUUAGGCUGGCAAGGCAGGAUUGUUACCAAAAGGGUGUGUGAGGGGCCCCUUUAGUUCACAAAAGUCAUUGCUGCAAUGGGAGAAAAAAAUGAAGAAGCAGUAGCCACGAAAAAUGCCUCUGUUUCCUGUAAUUCAGGUGAACUUAAACUCUUAUCAUGGGAAAACGACUUCCAAGCCUAAAGUCACCCCAUGCAGUAUCUGAUGCCAUCUGCAGAGAAAAAGCAAUCUUUAAGUCAAGUUCUCCCCCCAGGAGAUCCUACAAUACUCUUACAUUCCUUUAACACUGCAAGUACUUCUACCUCUCCUCCUCCUUUUUCUCCUCCUUCUUCAUCUUUCGUGAAUAUAAACAAUAUGCACUUGUCCAUCUUUCCCAUUAGACCUGAAGUUCAUUGAGGACUGGGUCUGUGCUUAAUUCAUGUUUUUAAUCUCCUAUAGCACAGGGUACAGAGAAGGUGCUCAAUAAAUAUCUGUUACAUAAACGAAUGGAAGAGGACAAGUGCUAUGUAAAACAUGGAGUAAAAUCCAGAUAAUUCUGUUCUUAUUCCCAAGGCCUGAACAGGGAGCGUGGCAAAAAGUGGCCACCAUUGUCAUGGCAAAUAAAGUUUAUACUACAAAAAGCUGCAUGAUGCAUGAAAGUGUGUCAUUUUUUUUUUCAAGAAGGCACCUGAAAUUCCACCAGAAAUCAUGACAUGAUGCCUCUAUAAUAUGUCUAUUUGAGUGAAUUCCAGACAGUAUUUGCUACUUGCAUCUCUUCUUUUUGUUUGGAAGAACAGAAGGCCUGAGCCAAGGACAGAUUUCAUGGUGUUCCAAAACAAAACUUUCCUCCUGAGAUAGCAUAUGAAUAACAAGUUGCAUCUAGAGGUAAACAUUUUUUGGAAGCUCUAACUAAUUAAAAACAGUAUUGUUUGCUUUCAACUGGUUGAUAGAGUGAGAAUAUUUUUACUAUUUCAGUUUGCUUAUACCCCAAAACGAAAAAAAUUUUUAAAAAGCCCUUCCCUUAUAAAAUAUUUAUUGUUUUAUAUUUUAAAAGAAAGCACCAAAUCAAUUCUACUUUGAAAGGCACAUUAAAAAUGUAAGCACAAAGCACAGGACACAUUUCACAGAAGAUUGGAACUGCUAACAGUUUUUUUUUUUGUUUUUUUUUUUUCAUCUACCAGAAGAAAUCAAAUGAAGCCAGUUUGCCUCUGGGGUUUUAAACAUCAUUACAAUUCAUCUUAAUAAUGAAGUUAAAAUUAACUGAAAGAAGACAAAAUGGAAAAAAAAAUCCUCACAUCACUAACAUGGAUUUAUUCAUGGUAAAAUGGAUAAAAGUAAUAUCCUUUGGGUAUAGUUAAGAAAAAAAAAAUCAAAAUAACCAACAUAUAGGUAACCCAUGACUGAAGCAGCACCUCAGUCAUCUUGUGUUUAUGGAAGCAUGAACUAAUGUGUACAUACACACUUUAUACGUGUAUAUAAACAUAUGUUGAGAAUAUACACAUUCACAUUCAGUAAAAAAUAAAUGCAACCACCAAGAAACCUUUAAGCUAUUUCCAAAAACACUACCUUAGAGACUGUCUACACUUACCAUGGAAUUCUCUUUCUGAUGUUGCACAUAAGUAAUAGCAGGAACUCAGGUCUGCUUCAUGUAAGCUUCCCCUUUGCCUUUGUGGAAUCUUUCUGUUGAGGAAUUAAAAAAACUGAUGAAAAGGUCGAAAGGGGUCCUCUCCACUCUACAGGGGCCUCACAUGUUUCCACGAGCACUCCUGCUUUGACUUUCUUCCUUCCCCUCUGAGAGAAAGAACAAAACAGGUACCUUGCUCCUUGGAAAUGGACAGAAUUUCAUUUUAACCAAUUAAAUCCUUUCAGAAAACUAAAGCUGUCACACUGGAAAUGUAAUGAUGCUAACAACAAUGAAUUGCAAAUCCAUGGUACACACUGGAAGAUGCAGUGUGUGCUUGUCUGUCAGGUGGGAAUACUGCUUACUCCUUCACACUCUUCUGGGGUCAAGUUCAGAAUUCAACCAUUCCUCUUCGAACCAGUGAAUUAUUUUUGCUUUAGUUGAAAAAAAAAAAAAAUGUAAGUUUCCCUAGGAGGUACACAAAGCUACAAACUACAGGAAUGCAACAUGAUUCUUUUAUGUAUGUAUGUUGCUUUUUUGAGGAGUGGUGGUGGUGAUUAUUGAAACUGAGAACUGAGAGAGAUAAUUAACUUGAUAUUUCUUAAUAUUAAGCAUAAUAUUUCUUUAGUGUUCUGGAGAAACCAAACAUAAAGAGAGACUUCUUUUUUUCUUUUCUUUUUCUUCUUCUUUUUUUUCUUUUUUUGAUUUUUAGGGCCGGACUUGAGGCAUAUGGAGGUUCCAGGCUAGCAGUCGAAUCAGAGCUACAGCUGCUGGCCCACGCCACAGCCACAGCCACAGCAAUACCAGAUACACAGGGACCACAUCUGUCCCCUACACCACAGCUUGCGGCAAUGCCAGAUCCUUAACCCACUGAGCAAGGCGAGGGAUCGAACCCUCAUUCUCAUGGAUAUUAGUUGGGUUUGUUACCACUGAGCCACAAUGGGAACUCCCAAGAACAAUAAAGGUUGAGGAUGAAAUCAAGACUAUUUGUUCCUAAAAUACAGGGAUCAUCCUCUCUCUCUCUCUCUCUCUCCCUUCCUCCCUCUCUCUUUUUCUCUAUUGCUUUAAAUAUUUAGCAUUUUCCCUCAUACUACUAAAUGCAGAGUAAUAAUAAGGUAUCCAAAAGUCACAAAUAACACAUUGUGUAUGUUUUAAGAUUUUACCAUUGGAGAAUUUAUUAUAUAAUUAAUCCUAAGUAUCCUUUGAGAAAACAUUUGAAAAGUUACAUGCUAUCUGUAU
rnacentral:lncRNA from 1 species